UGAGGAAUAUUGCGCAAUGGACGGAAGUCUGACGCAGCAACGCCGCGUGUGGGAUGACGGAGCUACGCUUUGUAAACCACUGUAGCAUGGGAAGAAAAGCAUCUUUGGGAUGUGGGACUGUACCAUGAAAGUAAGCAUCGGCUAACUACGUGCCAGCAGCCGCGGUAAUACGUAGGAUGCAAGCGUUGUCCGGAUUUACUGGGUGUAAAGGGUGCGCAGGCGGGAUGGUAAGUCAGAGGUGAAAGCUUGCAGCUUAACUGCAAAAUUGCCUUUGAUACUGCCGUUCUUGAGUAUGACAGAGGCGAAUGGAAUAUGUGGUGUAGCGGUGAAAUGCGUAGAUAUCACAUAGAACACCAGUGGCGAAGGCGGUUCGCUGGGUCAUUACUGACGCUCAGGCACG
rnacentral:rRNA from 1 species